CAGCAGCCGCGGUAAUACAGAGGGUGCGAGCGUUAAUCGGAUUUACUGGGCGUAAAGCGUGCGUAGGCGGCUUCUUAAGUCGGAUGUGAAAUCCCUGAGCUUAACUUAGGAAUUGCAUUCGAUACUGGGAAGCUAGAGUAUGGGAGAGGAUGGUAGAAUUCCAGGUGUAGCGGUGAAAUGCGUAGAGAUCUGGAGGAAUACCGAUGGCGAAGGCAGCCAUCUGGCCUAAUACUGACGCUUAGGUACGAAAGCAUUGGGAGCAAACAGGAUUAGAUACCCCCGUAGUCCCUGUCUCUUAUAC
rnacentral:rRNA from 1 species